AAGCCUAUUCACCAGAGAUUUAAAAAAAAAGAGAGAGUUAGCGCCGCUGUUACUCGUCGGAGGCUCUGAUCGUCCUCGUCGGUUUGUGCCCAGUCCCCAUCAGGCCGCCACUACCAUUUUCUCGGUCCUCGUCCUUCGCUACCGCUGCUACUGACUUGGUCACCAAGGAUGGGGAAGAUGUCGAUGGGGCUUGAACUUGAGAAGUC
rnacentral:lncRNA from 1 species